rnacentral:rRNA from 1 species
UACGGAGGUGGCAAGCGUUGCUCGGAAUCACUGGGCGUAAAGGGCGCGUAGGCGGGGAGGUAAGUCGGGUGUGAAAUCCCUCGGCCCAACCGAGGAACUGCGCCCGAGACUGCUUCUCUUGAGUCCCGGAGAGGAAGAUGGAAUUCCCGGUGUAGCGGUGAAAUGUGUAGAGAUCGGGAGGAACAUCGGUGGCGAAGGCGGUCUUCUGGACGGUGACUGACGCUGAGGCGCGAAAGCGUGGGGAGCAAACGGG